rnacentral:SRP_RNA from 1 species
UUGCUCUCAUGCGGCGAUAUGACGCAAAACUCCCCCAGGGCAGGAAUGCAGCAAGGGUAUGCGGCCUCUAUCGGGUGCGUGAGAGUUUUUC